AGUGUGGCGCAGCCUGGUAGCGCACUUGCAUGGGGUGCAAGGGGUCGCAGGCUCAAAUCCUGUCACUCCGACCA
rnacentral:tRNA from 1 species